rnacentral:rRNA from 1 species
UGAGGCCUACGGGGCGCAGCAGUCGGGAAUAUUGCGCAAUGGAGGAAACUCUGACGCAGUGACGCCGCGUAUAGGAAGAGGGUUUUCGGGUUGUAAACUAUUGUCCACAGGGAAGAUAAAAGACUGUACCUGUGAAGAAAGCUCCGGCUAACUACGUGCCAGCAGCCGCGGUAAUACGUAGGGAGCAAGCGUUAUCCGGAAUUAUUGGGUGUAAAGGGUGCGUAGACGGGAUAACAAGUUAGUUGUGAAACCACUCGGCUCAACUGAGGAACUGCCACUAAAACUAUUA